rnacentral:rRNA from 1 species
GGGCCCGCACAAGCGGUGGAGCAUGUGGCUUAAUUCGAGGCAACGCGAAGAACCUUACCUGGUCUUGACAUGCCCGUCAUAGUUUUCCGAAAGGAAUUCGUCAGUUCGGCUGGACGGUGCACAGGUGCUGCAUGGCUGUCGUCAGCUCGUGUCGUGAGAUGUUCGGUUAAGUCCGGCAACGAGCGCAACCCUCGUUUCCAGUUGCCAGCGGGUAAUGCCGGGGACUCUGGAAAGACAAACCUCUUGUUGAGGUGGGAAGGUGGGGACGACGUCAAGUCAGUAUGGCCCUUACGACCAGGGCUGCACACGUGCUACAAUGCCCAGCACAAUGGGAUGCAACACCGCGAGGUUGAGCAAAUCCACAAAACUGGCCCAGUUCGGAUUGGAGUCUGCAACUCGACUCCAUGAAGUUGGAAUC